rnacentral:rRNA from 1 species
CUACGGGUUGCAGCAGUGGGGAAUCUUGCGCAAUGGGCGAAAGCCUGACGCAGCAACGCCGCGUGCGGGAUGAAGGCCUUCGGGCUGUAAACCGCUUUCAGCAGGAACGAAAAUGACGGUACCUGCAGAAGAAGGAGCGGCCAACUACGUGCCAGCAGCCGCGGUGACACGUAGGCUCCAAGCGUUGUCCGGAUUUAUUGGGCGUAAAGAGCUCGUAGGCGGUUGAGUAAGUCGGGUGUGAAAACUCUGGGCUUAACCCGGAGACGCCAUCCGAUACUGCUCUGACUAGAGUUCAGGAGGGGAGUGGGGAAUUCCUAGUGUAGCGGUGAAAUGCGCAGAUAUUAGGAGGAACACCGGUGGCGAAGGCGCCACUCUGGACUGAAACUGACGCUGAGGAGCGAAAGCAUGGGUAGCAAACAGGAUUAGAUACCCUUGUAGUC